UACGAAGGGGGCUAGCGUUGCUCGGAAUUACUGGGCGUAAAGGGCGCGUAGGCGGUUAUAUAAGUUAGGUGUGAAAUCCCUGGGCUUAACCUAGGAAUGGCAGCUAAGACUGUAUAACUGGAGUGCAGUAGAGGGUAGUGGAAUUUCCGGUGUAGCGGUGAAAUGCGUAGAUAUCGGAAGGAACACCAGUGGCGAAGGCGGCUACCUGGACUGACACUGACGCUGAGGCGCGAGAGCGUGGGUAGCAAACAGG
rnacentral:rRNA from 1 species